rnacentral:rRNA from 1 species
GAUGAACGCUGACAGCAUGCUUAACACAUGCAAGUCAACUGUGGCGGACGGGUGAGUAACGCGUAAAGAACUUGCCUCACAGAUAGGGACAACAUGUGGAAACGAAUGCUAAUACCUGAUACUGUGAGAGAGCUUUGCGUCCCAUGAGCUAGUUGGGGAGGUAACGGCUCACGAAGGCGAUGAUGGGUAGCCGGCCUGAGAGUGUGAUCGGCCACAAGGGGAUUGGGACGCGGCCAUUAGUCCUACUGGAAGCAGCAGUGGUGAAUAUUGGACAAUGGACCGAAGUGUGAUCAAGGACUUCUGUGUGCACGAUGAAGUUUUCGGAAUGUAGAGUGCAUAGAGUUGGGAAGCAGUACCAACAGAAGAAGUGACGGCUAAAUACGUGCCAGCAGCCGCGGUAAUUC